rfam:Elstera litoralis strain Dia-1 c117, whole genome shotgun sequence.
CCUCGUUUCGAGGGGAGUCCCGCAAGGGGCUGAGAGGCUGUUGGAUCUAACCACGAUCGGCACAGCGACCCUUAGAACCUGAUCCGGUUCAUACCGGCGAAGGGACUGAACGCGCGGGUGGCC